GACGAACCGUGCAAACGUUAUUCGGAUUCACUGGGCUUAAAGGGCGCGUAGGCGGGUGGUCAAGUCAGGGGUGAAAUCUUUCGGCUCAACCGGAAAAGGGCCUCUGAUACUGGCCAUCUCGAGGGAGGUAGGGGCAUGUGGAACUUCCGGUGGAGCGGUGAAAUGCGUAGAUAUGUGGAGGAACACCGAUGGCGAAGGCAGCCCCCUGGGAUGUGACUGACGCUCAUGUACGAAAGCGUGGGGAGCAAACAGG
rnacentral:rRNA from 1 species